rnacentral:rRNA from 1 species
UACGUAGGGCGCAAGCGUUGUCCGGAAUUAUUGGGCGUAAAGAGCUCGUAGGCGGUCUGUCGCGUCUGCUGUGAAAGCUCGGGGCUUAACCCCGGGCCUGCAGUGGGUACGGGGCAGACUAGAGUGCGGUAGGGGAGACUGGAAUUCCUGGUGUAGCGGUGAAAUGCGCAGAUAUCAGGAGGAACACCGGUGGCGAAGGCGGGUCUCUGGGCCGAUACUGACGCUGAGGAGCGAAAGCGUGGGGAGCGAACAGG